rnacentral:lncRNA from 1 species
UCAUCUUCGUUCCAACCUUUUUCACCGAUUAAAUCUCUUCCUACCUCGAACCCUAGAAUCUCCUCCGAACAAAUCUUCGAAUCUAGGGUUCGCCUUUGAUUUCACCGUCUUCCGUUGUGUCCUUGUUCGCCAACUAGAUUUUACACCGCAGAAGAAGCUUUUGAACAACAUUGACCAAGUUCGGGAGGCCGUGCUUGAAGAAUUGAAGAAGCUGAAAUGAACUCCCA